rnacentral:rRNA from 1 species
GACGAACGCUGGCGGCGUGCUUAACACAUGCAAGUCGAACGGUAAGGCCCUUCGGGGUACACGAGUGGCGAACGGGUGAGUAACACGUGGGUGAUCUGCCCUGCACUUCGGGAUAAGCCUGGGAAACUGGGUCUAAUACCGGAUAGGACCCUGGGAUGCAUGUCCUGGGGUGGAAAGCUUUUGCGGUGUGGGAUGGGCCCGCGGCCUAUCAGCUUGUUGGUGGGGUGAUGGCCUACCAAGGCGACGACGGGUAGCCGGCCUGAGAGGGUGACCGGCCACACUGGGACGGGGAUACGGCCCAGACUCGUACGGGAGGCAGCAGUGGGGAAUAUUGCACAAUGGGCGCAAGCCUGAUGCAGCGACGCCGCGUGAGGGAUGACGGCCUUCGGGUUGUAAACCUCUUUCAGCACCGACGAAGCGCAAGUGACGGUAGGUGCAGAAGAAGGACCGGCCAACUACGUGCCAGCCGCCGCCGUAA